rnacentral:rRNA from 1 species
AGCGUAGGCGGAUCUUUAAGUGGGAUGUGAAAUACCCGGGCUCAACCUGGGUGCUGCAUUCCAAACUGGAGAUCUAGAGUGCAGGAGAGGAAAGUGGAAUUCCUAGUGUAGCGGUGAAAUGCGUAGAGAUUAGGAAGAACACCAGUGGCGAAGGCGACUUUCUGGACUGUAACUGACGCUGAGGCUCGAAAGCGUGGGGAGCAAACA